rnacentral:ncRNA from 1 species
CUGAAAGAUGGUGAACUAUGCCUGAGCAGGGCAAAGCUAGAGGAAACUCUAGUGGAGGCUCGUAGCGAUACUGAUGUGCAAAUUGUUUGUUAGACUUGGGUAUAGGGGCAAAAGACUAAUUGAACCAUCUAGUAGCUG